rnacentral:rRNA from 1 species
UACGUAGGUGGCAAGCGUUGUCCGGAUUUACUGGGUGUAAAGGGCGUGUAGCCGGGCUGACAAGUCAGAUGUGAAAUCCGGGGGCUCAACCCCCGAACUGCAUUUGAAACUGUUGGUCUUGAGUAUCGGAGAGGCAGGCGGAAUUCCUAGUGUAGCGGUGAAAUGCGUAGAUAUUAGGAGGGACACCAGUGGCGAAGGCGGCCUGCUGGACGACAACUGACGGUGAGGCGCGAAAGCGUGGGGAGCAAACAGG